AUUGCUUCUCGGCCUUUUGGCUAAGAUCAAGUGUAUUUUUAUUCCUA
rnacentral:snRNA from 1 species